GACGUAGGGCGCGAGCGUUGUCCGGAUUUAUUGGGCGUAAAGAGCUCGUAGGCGGUGUGUCGCGUCGGCCGUGAAAACCUGCAGCUUAACUGUGGGCUUGCGGUCGAUACGGGCAUCACUGGAGUUCGGCAGGGGAGACUGGAAUUCUUGGUGUAGCGGUGAAAUGCGUAGAUAUCAAGAGGAACACCUGCGGCGAAGGCGGGUUGCUGGGCCGACACUGACGCUGAGGCGCGAAAGCCAGGGGAGCGAACGGG
rnacentral:rRNA from 1 species